GGAGGGGGGUUAGCGUUGUUCGGAAUUACUGGGCGUAAAGCGCACGUAGGCGGACUGGGAAAGUUGGGGGGGGUGAAAUCCCAGGGGCUCAACCCUGGGAACUGCCUCCAAAACUAUCAGUCUAGAGUUCGAGAGAGGUGAGUGGAAUUCCGAGUGUAGAGGUGAAAUUCGUAGAUAUUCGGAGGAACACCAGUGGCGAAGGCGGCUCACUGGCUCGAUACUGACGCUGAGGUGCGAAAGUGUGGGGAGCAAACAGGAUUAGAUACCCUGGUAGUCCACACCGUAAACGAUGAAUGCCAGUCGUCGGGUAGCAUGCUAUUCGGUGACACACCUAACGGAUUAAGCAUUCCGCCUGGGGAGUACGGUCGCAAGAUUA
rnacentral:rRNA from 1 species